rnacentral:tRNA from 1 species
GGUCGCAUAGUCUAGUGGUUAUGAUAUCUGCUUUACAAUUGCUCGUGUAUACGCAGAGGGUCGCAGGUUCGAUCCCUGCUGCGACCA